AUGGCAAACAGUUUCAAUUUCCCAAUGCCAACUUCAUUGAUGAUGGCACUGAAAUCACGGCAAACGUGACGUAUGUAUACAAAGAGGAAGAUGUCAACCACCCUAGUGGUUUUCUACAGGAAGUCUUAAAAGUCUCAGGUCUCCUGACCACCACUGUUGCCCCAACAACAACUACCAACACCACUCCACUUCCUACCCUUUUGACUUCAGUGACAUCAACAACUAGAUUCGGCACAGUUGG